rnacentral:rRNA from 1 species
UACGUAGGGGGCAAGCGUUGUCCGGAUUUACUGGGCGUAAAGAGCAUGUAGGCGGCCAAAUAAGUCAGAUGUGAAAGUUUUCGGCUCAACCGGAAAAGUGCAUUUGAAACUGUAUGGCUUGAGUACUGGAGAGGUAAGCGGAAUUCCUAGUGUAGCGGUGAAAUGCGUAGAGAUUAGGAAGAACACCGGUGGCGAAGGCGGCUUACUGGACAGUAACUGACGCUAAGAUGCGAAAGCGUGGGGAGCGAACAGG